CAACUAUCAAGCCCUAGCUUGGUAUUGGAUGUCACCUAUUUUAGUGCAUCUUAAAAUUAGUGGCGGUACCAUUCAGCUUCAAGUGUUGUAAAUUUCUCGCUUCUGGAGUUUUGGAUGUUGUACUUGCCAGAGCCCCUAAUUAAG
rnacentral:misc_RNA from 1 species